rnacentral:rRNA from 1 species
AGAGUUUGAUCCUGGCUCAGGAUGAACGCUGGCGGCAUGCCUAAGACAUGCAAGUCGUACGAGGCGUCCCAAUGAAGCGGAGUGCUUGCACAAAGUGGAUUUGGAUUUUCGCCUAGUGGCGCAAGGGUGAGUAACACGUGGGUAAUCUGCCUUUAAGACUGGGAUAACAAUUGGAAACGAUUGCUAAUACCGGAUGAAAUGCAUGACAUAAAGUUGUGUAGUAAAAGGAGCCUUUAAAGCUUCACUUAAAGAUGAGCCUGCGGCGCAUUAGCUAGUUGGUGGGGUAAUGGCCUACCAAGGCAACGAUGCGUAGCCGAACUGAGAGGUUGAUCGGCCACAUUGGGACUGAGACACGGCCCAAACUCCUACGGGAGACAGCAGUUAGGAAUAUUCGUCAAUGGGGGAAACCCUGAACGAGCAAUGCCGCGUGAAUGAUGACGGUCCUCUGGAUUGUAAAAUUCUGUUGUUGAGGAAGAACGUCCUGUGUAGGAAAUGACACAGGAGUGACGGUACUCUUCAAGAAAGCUCCGGCUAACUACGUGCCAGCAGCCGCGGUAAUACGUAGGGAGCGAGCGUUAUCCGAAUUUAUUGGGUGUAAAGCGUGUGUAGGCGGUUUAAUAAGUCUAAGGUUUAAUGCAGAAGCUCAACUUCUGUUCGCCUUGGAAACUGUUUUACUUGAAUGCGGUAGAGGCAAGUGGAAUUUCUAGUGUAGCGGUAAAAUGCUUAGAUAUUAGAAGGAACACCAGUGGCGAAGGCGACUUGCUGGGCCGUGAUUGACGCUGAGACACGAAAGCGUGGGGAGCAAAUAGGAUUAGAUACCCUAGUAGUCCACGCCGUAAACGAUGAAUACUAAGUAUCGGGUUUCUCGGUGCUGAAGUUAACACAUUAAGUAUUCCACCUGAGUAGUACGGUCGCAAGGCUGAAACUUAAAGGAAUUGACGGGCACCCGCACAAGCGGUGGAGCAUGCUGUUUAAUUCGAAGAUACGCGAAGAACCUUACCUAGGCUUGACAUCCCGCUGACCGUCUUGGAAACAAGAUUUUCCCUUCGGGGACAGUGGUGACAGGUGGUGCAUGGUUGUCGUCAGCUCGUGUCGUGAGAUGUUUGGUUAAGUCCAAUAACGAGCGUAACCCUUAUCUUUAAUUGCUAACAUUUAGUUGAGAACCUUAAAGAGACUGCCGGUGAUAAACCGGAGGAAGGUGGGGAUGACGUCAAAUCAUCAUGCCCCUUACGUCUAGGGCUACAGGCGUGCUACAAUGGCCGAUACAAAAAGACGCAAAGUCGCGAGACCUAGCAAAUCUUUAAAGUCGGUCCCAGUCCGGACUGAAGUCUGCAACUCGACUUCACGAAGUUGGAAUCGCUAGUAAUCCCAAAUCAGAAUGUUGGGGUGAAUACGUUCCCGGGUGUUGUACACACCGCCCGUCAAGGCAUGGGAGUCGAUAAUACCCGAAGUCGUUAGCCUAACCAGUAAUGGAGGGGGACGCCGAAGGUAGGAUCGGUGACUGGGCUUAAGUCGUAACAAGGUAUCCCUACCGGAAGGUGGGGAUGGAUCACCUCCUUUCU